ACAAAAGAAUGAGAAACAGGUGUGGGGGCCUCUGGGGCGUCAGCAUCAGAAACCUUUCUUGAUAGCCAGAAAAUUGCCAUUCGAGAGGGAAACUGGAAAUCAUCUUUGGGCCUGAACCUCUUUUUGUUCCUGCUUUCCUUGAGUGGCUGGGAUACUCUGCAGCACAGCCCUCAGGCUGACGAGUCCUCCUUCUGUGUCCACCCACUGUCCAGGGCAACUGGCAGCGGCUGAAAUUUCUCCACUCGUGGCCCACUCCUCUGUGUCUGGGUUCCAUGUUCAGUGCAAAAGUCCUGGGAGGCGCUGUAGUCUUCAGGAGUGACACUUCCUAUUCCCAGAAAGUCGGGGACCAGCCUGGGAGGACUUGGUAACUUCCCCAGGACAUAGAGAACUGCAGGGGAAUAAAGAACAUAGCUCCCAUCAGACAAUGAGAAAAAGUCUACAAAUCAUAACUUUUCUUGAAGCCAUCAGAGAACUAAGGUUACAGGCAACAAAAUGAACUGAAUUCCGAAGAGAGACCAGCCGCUAUGAGAAGAGAUAAGACACAGAAAUUAUUUCACCUUUGGCCAAGACUGGCUACAUAAUUUAUGGGACCCAGUGAAAACUGAAAAUGUGGGGACUUUUUGAGUAUGGGUGCUGUUGAAUGCACAGCUCAAACGCCUUCAGGUGGGUCCUGUCUUUGGCAGAGAACAUGAGGAAGAAGUGACCACCAUCAUUAUGGGCGAAAAGAAGGGAACUAAAAUUUGAUGCAUCCCUAAAGGUUGAAUAUGGGCUACCCCAUCCGUUUAGAAUGCCUGGGAGUCUCAGAUAUAUGAAGAGUUUGUACUCACAAGCCCUUUUCCAUGGGCCUCCACAAGAAAGACUGGGCAUAGUGCAGGAGACCAGAGAGUGCGACCCUUGAUGGGGCAGGCAUUCCAGACAAUGCAGGCAGCCUGGCCCUGGGGCAUAGACAAAAAACCCCACUCACUUCCAAAGACCCCUCCCUCAUCAAGUAAAAUCCUUCAGCAACUAGAGGAAGGAUAGCAAACAUUUUCAACCCCAGAGCCACUGGGGAAGUGUAGAAGCAGAAUCUGGCUGCAUUUGGGGACCAAGUAGGAAACUGUCCUUCCCACUCCUGGAAACAGGCAAAGAUCCACUGCUUCUGGGCUAGUUGUCAAAGCAAAAUCCAUCUUCUCCUGGGGGAGGCAGGGGUAGGAAAACCUCUUGGACUGAGGAUCCUGCACUAACAUACAGCAGAGGUCUCCUAAGUCUGGGGGAGGGGCUCUUUUAUUUCCAAACCUGCCACAGAUACAAGGCAGAGUUUGGCUGCCAUGGGGAUGGGGAAAGGGCAGAAACUCUGAGAAGGCCCCACCCCCAAGGCUCAGGUUCACAGGCUCUCCCUAAGACUGAGGCUGAGCCAAGAGAACCAAGAACGCCCUCAGUUCUCACCAUGAGCCUGACAUUGAUCCACAGAACAACAGCAGUCUAUAUGGGGGCAAAGGGCAAGAGCUUGGAGAGAGACCCCCUCUACAGAGCAAGUGUUCAAAGCUUAGGAAUACUAAGUCAGCAUUUUAACACCUCCAGCACCUCAGCUCCCACAUGCAGAACUAAGUAGCAGCCUACCACCGAAUGGAUCUAAAGCCUGGGAUGCACUGAGGAAACAAUAGCAACAAGACCUCAACUCAGAUCACUUCCAGCCAGACUGACUUUACUCCCCACCCUGUCUCCCCCCAGUAACGGCUUGACAGAAGAAGAGGUGUACCUAUUUCUGGGAGUAAGUUAUAUUUACUAUUCUUCUACACGUGAUCUUCAGCAUUCAACCAAAAAUUAGGAGACACACGAAAAGAAAAAAAAAGACCCCUUGUCAAGAGAUAACGCAAUUAACAGAACAAGACUCAGUUAAAGUCUAGAUGUUGGAACUAUCAGACAGAUACAUUAAAAUAAUUAAGAUAAUAUGUGCAAAGGUCUAGUGGAAAAUGUGGACAACAUAUAUAAACAUGAGGCUUUUAGCAAUGAGAUGGAAACUAUAAAAAAGAGUCAAAAGAAAAUGCUGGAAAUAAAACAAUAUCAGAGAUGAAGAACUCCUUUGACAGUAGACUGGACACAACUGAGGGUCAAAAAGUGAACCUGAAGAUAGGUCAAAUUAUCCAAAAUGAAACAUAAAGAGUGAAAAACAGAGUAUCGAAGAGUUGCAGGACAAUAUCACAAGUCUAGUAUGCAAAUGAAUGGAGAUCGAGGUAACAGACUGAGUGAGUGGUCUCUACUCUACUCGACCAGGUCUCCCUGGUCCCCAGAAAGCUAAAUGGGGAGCUGAUUUCUCCUUAACUGUGAGGCAGGGAGAGCAGGGGCCUUUGCCGUUGAAAACAACAGGGAUACAAAAUCUAUCUCAGUGCCCGAACCUGGUGCCUGGACAGGGGACUACAGCUUGCUCAGAGGGUACGUCACCAGCUUAUGGAAUAGAGACUGUGAGUCUGCUACCUAAGGAAUCUUAGCCAACGGGACCUGAGCCCUAGAGGUGACUAGAGCCAUGUGAACAAAGGAAACUAAUGCCCACAGGGAGACCCCGCAACCACACAGAAUGAAAAGUAGAACACUCAGAACAGGCGGCUCUGAGUGUAAUUACUGGAGGAUACAUGCAACAAUUUGAAUUACAAAAUUCAUAUUACUCUAUCAUUAGGCCUUUGCUAGGUGAGGCUGUGAUAACAACCAACCCCAGGAGUUGAACGGCUUACGAAAACAGAGGCUUACUUUUCAGUCAUGGUACAUCUC
ensembl:lncRNA